rnacentral:rRNA from 1 species
UUGGCCGUGCAAAGGUAGCUCAAUCAUUUGUCUUUUAAAUAGAGACUUGUAUGAAUGGCUAAGCGAGGGUUUAACUGUCUCCCCUUUCCAGUCAGUGAAAUUGAUCUGCUCGUGCAGAAGCGGACAUAAAAAUACAAGACGAGAAGACCCUUUGGAGCUUAAGGUACAAAACUCAACCGCGUCAAGCAACUCAAUAAAAAGCAAAAACUUUGCGGAACAUGAGAUUUUACCUUCGGUUGGGGCGACCACGGAGGAAAACAAAGCCUCCAAGUGGAUUGGGAAAACCUCCUAAAACCAAGAGAGACAUCUCUAAGCCACAGAACAUCUGACCAAACAUGAUCCGGCUGCCCGAAGCCGAUCAACGAACCAAGUUACCCUAGGGAUAACAGCGCAAUCCUCUCCCAGAGUCCAUAUCGACGAGAGGGUUUACGACCUCGAUGUUGGAUCAGGACAUCCUAAUGGUGCAGCCGCUAUUAAGGG